rnacentral:piRNA from 1 species
UAUGUGGACAUUUCUAGAGCUUCACAAUGC